CCUACGGGUGGCAGCAGUAGGGAAUCUUCCACAAUGGGCGAAAGCCUGAUGGAGCAACGCCGCGUGGGUGAAGAAGGUCUUCGGAUCGUAAAACUCUGUUGUUAGAGAAGAAAGUGUGUGUGAGUAACUGUUCACGUCUUGACGGUACCUAAUCAGAAAGCCACGGCUAACUACGUGCCAGCAGCCGCGGUAAUACGUAGGUGGCAAGCGUUAUCCGGAGUUAUUGGGCGUAAAGGGAACGCAGGCGGUCUUUUAAGUCUGAUGUGAAAGCCUACGGCUUAACCGGAGUAGUGCAUUGGAAACUGGAAGACUUGAGUGCAGAAGAGGAGAGUGGAACUCCAUGUGUAGCGGUGAAAUGCGUAGAUAUAUGGAAGAACACCAGUGGCGAAAGCGGCUCUCUGGUCUGUAACUGACGCUGAUGUUCGAAAGCGUGGGUAGCAAACAGGAUUAGAUACCCUUGUAGUC
rnacentral:rRNA from 1 species